rnacentral:misc_RNA from 1 species
UAUCGGAAGGUGCGGCUGGAUCACCUCCUUUUGAGUAUGGUGAAUAUAAUUGUCUUAUCAGGCGUCCUCACAAGUUACUUGCAUUCAGGGUUUGAUGUUGGCAUAGGUUUGGGUUUAUGUUGGCGAUUUUUGUUCUGGGGGCCUUAGCUCAGCUGGUAGAGCACCUGCUUUGCAAGCAGGGGGUCGUCGGUUCGAUCCCGACAGGCUCCACCAUGAAAGUAUUUAUGGGUCUGUAGCUCAGGUGGUUAGAGCGCACCCCUGAUAAGGGUGGGGUCGGUGGUUCGAGUCCUCCCAGACCCACCAAUGUUAUAUCAAUUAUUCUGAAUGUGGUUUGCGCAUUUUUUAUGCUUAUCAGCCUUGGAGCUGUGAAGCGUUCUUUUAUAAUUUGAUGAUGUAGCAAGCGUUUGAACUUUUUAUUAAUAAUUUCUCAUUGGAAGCCUUAAGUGACAAUGUUUAUCCAUUGUCUUGUAGAUUUUGAGGCGACUUUGGGUUAUAUGGUCAAGCGAAUAAGCG